AGUGUCAGUGCCUAACGACUUGGGCAAGUGCCCCCCUCCUGCAGCUCUGAACCCUGUCCACAUAACACCAGCAGCGUGGAUCCCCUCCAGCUGCUCCUCAGAUCCUGGCGCUUACCAAGCUUCUGGAAAGGAUUCAGGAAUGGUGGGGGGUGGGGAGACAGCGGUUCAGAGACUAAAAUAGACUGAAUUUGUUUUUCACCUUUUAUGUAUUUAAGUCAUCUUUACACCCAACAUGGGGCUUGAACUCUCCACUCGGAAAUGAAGUCCCACACUCUUCCCAGGAGCCAGCCAUACGCCCUCCGAUUUAUCUUUUUAAGGGCCAGAGCCUUUCUCUUAACGGACUCCAUCCACUCGGAGACCAACAGCGGUCAUCUGGGGGGCCUGGUGGCUGGCGCUCGUUCCCACCUGCCAGCCUGUCCCCUGCCCAGGCCACGCCCGUCCCGCAUGCUUCGAAGCGCUUUCCACUCCCGCAGCUGCGCGUCUCUCCAGGAACCAAAGUGGAGAUGCCCUCGCCUGGUGGUCAGUCUCUGGGCUCGAGUUCCUUUUACCCGCCCUUCCUUGCCCGCCUAGAUCGUGGACUCUCCGCAUUCCUGGGAAGACCUUUCCAGAGCUUUCUGAAGCGGGUCCCAGACAGAGCGGCAACGCCUUCGGCCCAUGGGUCAGUUCAUUUAUCUUAUUACGGAGAAACGCACUCUUGGAGGUAUUGAAACUAGCCAGUCCCUGGUCUGAGGAAUGGGUGCACAACACUCGUGUUCUCUCUGCAAAGGCCGGCCGGGGAUUCAGCUUGCGUCAAGGCCUUGAGCUCGGCAGGAGCCGGCCUGGAGGUUUCAGCCUCCCGAGCGGAGCGGCGCAGGGCUCCGCUGGCUCACCUUAGGCUAGAGGAGAAAGGAGAGGAGCGCGGAGAGUCUGGGGCGGGGCUCAGGGAGAAGGCGCACAACAGAAGGCUCCCCACUUCGGGCGAAGGCCAGAGUGUCUCCUCCCCAGUGCAUACAGAGGCCUCCUCGCCUCCCCCCAACCUCGGAGUCCCCAGCCCUUCUUCAGGUCCCUCCAGGCUUUCCCCCGCGGCUUGACCUUCUCCCGCCUUCCCAAGACCGGAGGUGCCCCCCACACCCCUCCUCCCCCUUUCCCCCUCUUCCUGCAAAGCGUUUAAGAGAGUAAGGGCGGAGGCGUUGAAGACCACCUACCAGAAACUUCAAGUUCAAUGGCAAAGUCCCUGCCCCUCCCUCCGGGCUCGGGCAAAAGCUGUCGCUUUUCCUCAUUCUGGGGGCGACUGAACUCUUGCUGCCGCCGUCCCCUCUCUCACUUCGGGGGCAGUUUAGGGGAGGGGAGCCAGUGGUGGAACUCUUUCCUUCCCCCCAUCGACCACCCCCCACCCCCUUUCUAGACAGAGGCAACUUGUAGCCGACGGAGGCAGAAAGGCUGGCAUCAGUGCCCCCACUGGAUGUUUUUAAGUAUCUCUCCAGGCCCAGAUCAGCAGCGGAGGCGGGGGGAGGGGGAGUGGAGGUGCGCGACGGGGGGUGGAGGUGCGCGACGGGGGGGAGGAGCGGGGGCGGGGAACAGAGGGGUGUCCCACUCAGGUGAGAGGCCGAGGGCUCGCUCUAGGGCUUUCUGCCCCCUUUCCUGGAGAGGAACUGUUCAGGUCUGCGAGAAGAAGAGACAAAUUCCUUCAAAAACAGCAGCACGGCCUUCCUUGGCCCCCGCGCAGCAGGCGCCCCGCGCUUUAUUGGAGGUUUAGGUAUCUAACCCACCAUUGUAGUAGCUCUGCGGCUUCUAUUAGACCGGACGCAGGCGGCGGCGCAGAGCUCCCCCCGAAGGAAGCCUAAUUAAAGUGCAGCACUUAGGGCCUCGGAUAAAACUUUAAUGAAGGGGAGGCGGGGAGGGCAGUUUUCUCGUUGGAGGAAGGGAGCCGGGCCGCUGGGAGCGCUGGCGGGGCUUGAUCAGGGCCUUUUUCCAGCCGCCGGGGCAGCUUCCGGCUCUGGAGCGACUCACAGUAAGGCGGGGGGAGGGCGGGGGACACAGCGGUGCGGAUUCUCCGCCGCCCGCAGCCACGGUGGGGGCGGGGGGUGUCCCGAGCGGCCAGCAGCGUUCGCCAGCGUGAGUAAAGGACCCCAGGGCUGGAGCCUCCCCCCGCCUGGCUCUCCGCCGGGCUGCCGCGGGAAUUUAGAUUAGAAAAGAGCUUCCAGAGGUCGCGUCUAUGCAGUUCUCCACCAGUGCCCCCCCUAAUUCAGCCUCCGGAAGCCUAAUAAAAUACAACGGCUUUGGAGUUAGACCUGAUUUCGGUUCUGCAGCCGGCGUAGACGCGACCCUCUGAUCCCGUUUGGACGCCUGCUGAGACUCGCAGCCGGAGGUGUUCAGCUCGGAGUCCGGGAGAGGGCGUGGAGGGCAGCUCCGAGGACAAUUAUGCGUCGCUGGUAGAUAAAGACUCUCGGGGGUAUUUUCGGGAAUCUAUUUGUACGCUUCCCCGGGAAUUUGUUUAUGAGAAUGUUGUCUGAAUUCGCCUAUUUAUGAACGUUGUGUUCGCAUGUUUCAGGCUGAAUAAUUUUUAGCAAGACACGCUGCCCAGUAGCUGCAGAUGGCCCUAGUCCAAACCAAAUCGCUGCAGACAAGCGACUGCGGGUAGAUGGGUUUUGUUGAAAUGGAACACAAAUUAGCGAGAGAUUUUUAAAUGCUCGGUCUCGGUGGGAGGGUGUCUAAUUUGCCUAGGGAGUAAAAAUGGUGUUUGGAAAAGGGUUUCAUGAAAGGAUUUAAAGCCAAAAGAAAUUUAAAUUUGUUUUGUUUUGCACAGGUUCCAAGUUCAUCCCUGGGCGGGGCGGGGAGGGGGGAUAUGAGGGGGCGGUGUCGCCGCGAACUGCCCUGCGGAGGAAGAUAACACUCCAGCCGCUUGAAGUCCUAGACCCGGGGCAGAAGGUGCCGCAGUCCUGCUCCUGGAAGCCCGACUGGCCUGUUUAUUCCACGUAUCUCGUGCUGCCCUCCUUGCCUUCUUCCUGGCUCUCCCGCUCGCUGGACCGAUCCAUCUGCCGGUACGUUGGCCCAAUUCCAGGCGGCUCCGGAUCCUGGCUCUCUCACAAGCUGCCCCAAACCCUUCACCCCCGGAGGCCCGACACCCCAGGCAUCCGGAAGCCAGAGGCUCCGUUGGGGGGUUAAGGCCCAGCCGCCUGGCGAGUUUCCCUGAGAUAGCAAACUUCUGCCGGCAGGGGGCUCCCUUGGCUUUGUAAUAGUCCACAAACUCACAUUGAGUUUAUAAUAAAUCUCUAUAAUCCCAAAU
ensembl:lincRNA